CCUGUCGUAGAGGGUGAGAGUCCCGUAGACGAAAACAUUGCAACUGUCGUUGUGGAUACCCAAGUAGCAGCGGGCCCGUGAAAUCUGCUGUGAAUCUGUGAUUCCGUGAGUAGUGGCGAGCGAAAGCGGAUGAGGCCAAACUUUGUGCGUGUGAUACCCGGCAGGGGUUGCGUAUGGAGGGUUGUGGGGUUUGCAUUGUCGAUUCUGCCGGAUCGGCCGACAGUGAGAAAUUGUGGUGUUAGUCGAAGUGGUCUGGAACGGCCUGUCGUAGAGGGUGAGAGUCCCGUAGACGAAAACAUUGCAACUGUCGUUGUGGAUACCCAAGUAGCAGCGGGCCCGUGAAAUCUGCUGUGAAUCUGU
rnacentral:rRNA from 1 species